rnacentral:rRNA from 1 species
AUACGUAGGGUGCAAGCGUUAAUCGGAAUUACUGGGCGUAAAGCGUGCGCAGGCGGUUGUGCAAGACCGAUGUGAAAUCCCCGGGCUUAACCUGGGAACUGCAUUGGUGACUGCACGGCUAGAGUGUGUCAGAGGGGGGUAGAAUUCCACGUGUAGCAGUGAAAUGCGUAGAGAUGUGGAGGAAUACCGAUGGCGAAGGCAGCCCCCUGGGAUAACACUGACGCUCAUGCACGAAAGCGUGGGGAGCAAACAGGA